AUUGAACGCUGGCGGAAUGCUUUACACAUGCAAGUCGAGCGGCAGCGCGGGGCAACCUGGCGGCGAGCGGCGAACGGGUGAGUAAUACAUCGGAACGUACCCAGUUGUGGGGGAUAGCCCGGCGAAAGCCGGAUUAAUACCGCAUACGACCUGAGGGUGAAAGGGGGGAGUCGCAAGACCUCUCGCAGUUGGAGCGGCCGAUGGCGGAUUAGCUAGUUGGUAGGGUAAAGGCCUACCAAGGCGACGAGUCCGUAGCUGGUCUGAGAGGACGACCAGCCACACUGGAACUGAGACACGGUCCAGACUCCUACGGGAGGCAGCAGUGGGGAAUUUUUGGACGAAUGGGGGCGAACCCUGAGUCCAGCCAUUCCGCGUGAGUGAAGAAGGCCUCGGUUGUAAGACGUCUUUCGGUC
rnacentral:rRNA from 1 species